UCAUCUCUAGACCAACAACACACCUGGGCCAUCCUCUCGAACGUCAUCAGAAAAUGCUCAAUGUCGUCAUCCGUGGAUAAGGGAAGAAAUCUUGGUUCAAUUUUGGACCUGGAACCAUGAGCUACCUGGACAUCACCACCAUCUGAUUCUUCUUCAUGUGCUUCAGCUGUUGUGGGUUGAACAUGUGCUUCUGAUACAUCAGGUCUUUCAAGUACAGCAUGCACUUGAAGCUGCAUUUGUUGAAAUUGAUGCUGUAUGCUUUUCCACCUUUGCUCCUGGCGGGAAAAAUCUUUAUCAAUCUUCAGGUCUCUAGCCGCUUGAGACCGCAUAAUAGCUUUCACCAACACUGUCAGUUCCUCCAACUUAUCUUCAGGGUUGGUCGCUGCCAUGGUCUCCAUUUCAGAGGAAGCUCCAGCUCCUUCAUCAGGCUCUCCCUCUUGGCCUAGCUUUUUACCACCUCUGGUCAUCAUCUUCUCACUGUGGCAUGAAUGGCCCACUUCUGACACCACUUGUAACAAGGUAGCCGUUCGCGGUAGGAUUUUACAGUGACGAUGAAGCGUUGAGGCAGAGUCAGGUGGAAAACAGCAGUGGUUUUAUUCUUCACACAACAUCAACCAACACUUCACAGGUGAAAACUGCAGUCUUAAAUAGUCCCAGCUGUGACGGAUCAAACCACCUUUAAUUCACAGGGGAAUCUCAAUUCAUCAAUAUCCACUUAUUUAAUUAAAAUACCUUUUACUAAAUAUAAACAUUUCCAUUUACUUUUUAUAAAUAUUUUAUGUUUUAUCAUUACACCAAAUGAAACACCACAAAGCCCAUAAACAAUUCCCCCCCCCACACUUUUCAAUGGCCUCUCCCGGAGACUAUAUAUGGUGUCUGGACCCCCGGGGCAGUAUUUGUCCAAACACCCUGGAGAGGACACAGAAAAGACAGGCAACCACCUCACUCGUCAAUGAGGAGCAGCUGUGCAGAGCCCAGAACAAAAGGCUACAUGCUAAUGUCUAAAAAUACUCAAUAAAUACAAUUAAAACUU